UUUGGAAUUAAAAUUGGGGUAGUAUAAGUAGAUCUUGAAACCCAAAAUUUUUGGCGGUUUUUUAGUCAGGUUAGAGGAAUCUGUUCUGUGAUGGAUGUUCCACUUUUGGUUUAACUCUGGUAAGUUAAGUUUAUAUACCGCCGUCGUAAAGUGAAUUUUUUAGAUUUUAUUGGAAAUUUGGAUGGAAAAGAAGAUGACAGGUCAAGGUGUAGCUAAUGCUGGAGGGUGAGAUGGAUUACAAUCUUUUAUUUGGAGACGGAUGUUAAUGAGAAGGAAUAUUGUUGAUUGAAGGUGGAUUUAUAAGUAAUAGUUGAUUAAGAUGGGAUUGUGAAAGGAGCUCUGGGGAACGU
rnacentral:rRNA from 1 species